rnacentral:rRNA from 1 species
GAUGAACGCUGGCGGCGUGCCUAAUACAUGCAAGUCGAGCGAACAGACGAGGAGCUUGCUCCCCUGACGUUAGCGGCGGACGGGUGAGUAACACGUGGAUAACCUACCUAUAAGACUGGGAUAACUUCGGGAAACCGGAGCUAAUACCGGAUAAUAUAUUGAACCGCAUGGUUCAAUAGUGAAAGACGGUUUUGCUGUCACUUAUAGAUGGAUCCGCGCCGCAUUAGCUAGUUGGUAAGGUAACGGCUUACCAAGGCAACGAUGCGUAGCCGACCUGAGAGGGUGAUCGGCCACACUGGAACUGAGACACGGUCCAGACUCCUACGGGAGGCAGCAGUAGGGAAUCUUCCGCAAUGGGCGAAAGCCUGACGGAGCAGCGCCGCGUGAGUGAUGAAGGUCUUCGGAUCGUAAAACUCUGUUAUUAGGGAAGAACAAAUGUGUAAGUAACUAUGCACGUCUUGACGGUACCUAAUCAGAAAGCCACGGCUAACUACGUG